UAGAGAGAGUCAGAAGUAUACAUCUUGUGCAGUGCCUUUAAGUUAUACAAUUCUUAGAAAUGGAAUUCAGGUAUAUUGCUUAGAGGAUGAAUUUCCUUUUGGAAGGAAGAGUAGUUGAUGCAGAGAAGUUCAGCUAGUACUUUAUUAGUGUGGGGGUUUUUUUGUUUGUUUCUUUGGUUUUUUUGUUUUUGUUUUUGGGUUUUUUUUGCAUACUGACACUGUAUAGAGAUUUACUCUUUAAAUAGUUGUAGGAAUUUCCAAAUUUUGGGUUGUCUUUGAGAUUUCUAUAGUGUCAGGCAGUCAAUCCUGUUUAUAAUUGUGCAGUAAUUUCUACUUUGUCACCAGGAGAGGAUUCCCGUAGUUCUGAUGUUGCUGGAAUAGCCUCCUCAGUUGUCAUGAUUAGGGGCAUUGGCAGAAGAGGGAGCCAGUUAAGGUAUCGACAUGUUUAGAAGUUACUUUGGCCAGGUAGAGGGGGGUGAUGGUGUUUGUUUGGUCCCCCCACCCAAUUCAUAUCUGUGCUUUGCUUCAGAAAUCAUUUGACUUUUCUUUGGGCUAGAUACUGUGGUCCAUUUUCUAUUAUACUUCUCCCUGAACAGUGUUGCAGAACAUGAUGUCUGUAGUGGCUGCAGAUAAAUCGAUUGCUGUCUAACCCAAAAACUCUUACAGUACGUGGAAUAAAAAACUUCAAAACUAGAUUUGAUUGGAUGUAGCCUGCAAUUCUGCGGUGGACUGUGGAUUACCACCAGAGACAGAGAAAAACUGGGAUAAUAAUUUUUUUGCAAUUAGAUGAGGUUGAAUUACCUGAAUUAAGUCUGAUCAGUUACUAUGGGCUACUGAUUUUGCUUAUUGAAAAAGAGUAUCACGUAACAAAUACAAACUGUCUCCUAUCUGCAGUGCUAAAUGUGGGAAUAGUCUUUGACUUGGUCUCCUUUUUAAAGUGAAUCAGGUAGUUGCGAGUCUGAACCCAUUCUUUGUGACUGUUCUGUAGGAAUUUAAUAUAUUGUGUUGCCCAGUGUUGGAAAUGAAGUGCUUUCCUUUCAUAUUAUCAUCAUCAAACUUCACUUGCAGUCAGAAUCUUCUAGUAUUAUUCUGAAUUUGUACCAGCUAAUUAUCUGUUUCUGUUUAAUUUGUAAGUAGCUGGAACUGCUCUUCCACCUGUAGUUUGUUCUUUCAAUUUCUGAGCUCUUUAAGUGGGGGGGGGGGGAGAAAUAGUGUUUUUUCUGAGGUCACAUACAUGAUGUAUGAAAAUAAGUUCACUCAAAAGAGUAAUAACUCAUAUCUUUAGGGCUUGAAAACUAAAUUUGAAUGGAUUCAGGCAAUGGUCUGCAUGCUGACUGGAACAGAAAAUAAAUGCAGUUUAUCCUGCUAAGAUAGGCUACCAAGGUUUUGUUAUGCAAUUGGACUUUUUUAAAAAGAGCUCAUCAUCUAGUUGCUGCCUGUUACCUUGCAUGCAGGAGACCACCAUUUAUUUUUAAAUAUGCUUUAAACGCUUGGCAUAAUAAGCAUUAACUUUAAAACCUAAUAGGAACACAACAGAGCAACCACAUUCCUAAAAGGGGUGGUAUUUACAUUAUGUUGUUACUUUAUGAUACUGGCCUUUCUCACCAGGUGGAGCUACGAUACACAGCGUACAGAUGAGCAGUCCAGCCGUUAUUACCAGGCAACUCCAGAGAGAUCUUUCCAUGCUUCACAAAUCUGUUUCAGCUUUUUAGUUUCAUUCUUAAGAGCAUCACCAGUGAAGUAAAUUGAUUUCCAUGCCUUUGUAUUAUGAAAUGUACUCACAAAGAAUAUAAAUGUAUAUAUACCCAUAUAAAGCCAUAUAAAAUAACCACAGUUAUUCUGUAGUCAGGAGUGACUUAAUAGCUAAAUGCUUUGCCACUCUUUCUAUGAUACUCUAGAAUUUCUUAGAGCUCUUUUCUUGGGGCAGAUUUUUUGAGAGAAAGAUUUAAGGCUUUGACAUUUCAGUUUCCAAAUCUUGGAAAAUCUUGGCUCUUUUAUUUAUUAAACGUGUCAUCACCUGGGGGAGUCAGAAACACUUGGUUAGUUGGAUUCUGUUGACUUUAAAAGCAUCAGCGUAUUCAUUUUAACAAAAUAAUUGAGUAUUUCGACCAUAAACCGCUGUUCCUUAGUCCAAAGGCUUUGAUAUGCCUGUGACAGAUGAGGCCUGCCAUUCACGACAUUGGUGGAUUGGAUCACCAGCCUCUUGAGCAGUGGUGACUUAAUAAAACAUUUUAUUGCAUCAUUUCAGUUGGACUUGACGAAGUUUGAUUUCUGUUCAUCAACUACCAGACUUCAAAAUGUCCAUUAUUGUGAGUUAACUUUUGAGUAAAAUCACUGACAAAAGUAUUUAUGGUUUUGAGCAUCACUGAAAUGCAUGUUUAAGCAAUGAAGAAGACCUCUGUAAUGCACAGGAAAGUUGCAUUAUUCUGCUAUGCCAACUACGUUAUGUAUGUUGGCCUCUGAGACAGAUGUGAAAGAGUAACUUUCAAAUUAAUGCAGAGAAAGCACACAAGUAUUUUAGUUUUUAACAGUAUCAUUGUAUUCCCUGGUAGCCAUUUACUUUCACAUUCAACUGAUGUUGUUAUAUGUGAAUGUUAUAUCCAUGUAAACAUUCUUGAAGGAGCUGUUUGAAAAAACCUGCUAUUUCUCUAACACAGUAACAAGAGUCCAUAAGUAAUUCAGUAUCUGCUCCAUUUUGGCUUUUGUGCAAAGUUAUUACAUUUCUAAUUAAGCUGAAGAUACCUGCAUAUAUACUGUUCAGUCUGCUGACACUGUAGACCUAACCACUGCUCUUGGUAUUUUCUGUGGUGCUGGAUAAUUGUUGGGGGGGGGGGAGUAUAUUCUGUACUGUAACUCUGCUAGAGACUAGCAGGAGGUGUUUUGUGUUUUUUGAUAAAUUGAGUGGAUUAUCUGUAGGCCCUUUUGGUUUGAAUGGUUGGACACUGAGGUUGACAAACUAGUUUUGUGAUCUUAUGUAUACAGCUGACAGGAGAUAUGGUAAGAUUGUGGAGAUUAAAUUAAUUUUCAUAUAAAAACCAAUGCAGUCAAGUAUUCUCCAUGUUCUAGCUGUUUUUGCUUUUGUAUUUGAUACUUCAGUGUAAAAAUAAUGCUUGGUUAUAAGCAGUAGCAGUAUUUUUAGUGAUAGUAAGAGAUUCUAUGAAAUACAUAUCUGACUUUGCUUAGCAUAAAUGUUAUAUUAGAUCUUGCAACUCUUGCUCAUUAAGGAAGAUUUUCAAAUGCAUAUAAGCUCUCACUGAGAAUUCUCAUCCUCCACAAGAGGAUUGCUUACAUAAUUAAGGAUUGCAUAUACAAAUAAAUAUAAGAUUAGAGAUCUAAUUCCCAAAGAGUAAAUAUUAUGCAUUAGUGACGAUACUAGUAUUAAGAUAUUGUUUUGGAGUACUGAAUUCAUAGUUUUUCAAAUUCCUUUCAGUAUCAUUAAUGCACAGUGUAGUUGCAUUGCCUAUUUUACGAUAUAAAAUAAAAAUCUAAAGAAUAUCAUAUUGUUUCUGUAUUAGCGAAAUGGAAAUACAUAUGAAAUCUUGUAACUAAUUUAAACUGUAAUCAUAUCAAGUAAACAUUCUGGACGUUACUAAGAAUAAGCAACAAUGGACACAUUUGGGUUGCUUUAAGAAGAGAUACGCAAUGAAUGACUGUGCAUGAAUAAUAUUAAAAUAAGUACUAUAAAAUUGAUGAAUUUCAAAUUCAUAUAAAUGAAAAGUAUAUGUAUAUUGUCUUAUCUGUUCCAGAAUCUAUAGAAUGUAAUGCUUAACCCCAUUAAGAACUUUGCAACAACAGCAAGAGAAAAAUUAGCCCGAAUAAACAGUGAGCAGAAAGAGAAGGAACUAUAGCAGAAAGAAGGAACCAAAAAACAGUGGAGGAAAUAAUAGAGAUGACUGAGAAGAGACCUAAGGAGAAUGGAAAGACAGACAAGGUUCAGCAUGAAGCAGCAAACCAUGGAGAACACUUACCAUCAACAGAGAUAAGCGAUAAGUGAUAAUGCAGAACCACAUUUCUCUGUAACCUUCUUGUUCCUUGGGGCCUUGGUGAUUGUGACUCACAAGUUAGAAGGUGACAGUAAAGAAUUAUUUAAAAGAAAAGUCUUAAUGGUUGUUCAGGAUAAUAGUUCAAUUUUAUGGUGGGUCCUGAAUGAGAGACUGUUGAUUCCCUGCUCAAGCACUGAGUAGUUGUACUGCAUACAAAGUGCCAUCACAUUUGCUGUUCUUUCCUCCCUAUUAAUUUUAUUUACUUUCUGUGAUAUAACAUAAAGGAUUUUAGGAGACAAAGAUGGUUAAAUUUACCUUGGCUAAUGCUAGGCAGAAGAAUGCUUAAGAAAAGCAGUUUUAUUCAUGUAUUUUUCUUGAUAGAGGCUGUUUAUCUGCUUGGAUGUCGUCUCUGUGUAUCCAGUAUUCUCUUCUACGAUGUUUUUUCAUGUCGGUAUCAGUCAAUGAAAUAGAUUAAACGCUGUUGAAAUAGUCCGCUACAGAAAUCCAGCACUGUUCCAGCAGUGAAGAGAUUUUGGAUAUUGGGUAUUCUUGAAAUAGUUUCUGGGGUAGCUUCUGCCACCAACAAACCUUAUGGGACUAUUCUUCAGGAUUAAAGUGUAGAUGGCAAAAAUAUGGAGGGCAUUAUAGAUUAAUAUUCAUAAUGAUAAAUUUC